rnacentral:lncRNA from 1 species
UGGGAACUCAAAACAUAUCACAGUUAAAACUUCAGCUGUACAUCUAAACCAGGAGUAAUCUCUACAUGAUCUUUCACGUUGUUUGUGGGCAACCUUCAUUUGUAUUUUCUUGCAAACAUCACACAUGUGAUAUUAUUUCCUGUCCUCUCAGGGAUAUCCAGGCGUUAUGGGCAGGACCGGGCGGACAGGAUACAGAGGCCCUAUUGGUCCUCCUGGAAUGCCCGCCAUUGUUGUGUUUAAAACCUCUGAAGAAGAAUGGGAGGCUUUCAAGAAGAAGAAGUUCUACAAAAAGUUGGUGUCUUCCUGGCCAAAACUUAAGGGGCCUCUGGGGCCUCCUGGACCUCCUGGCGAUGACGGAACAAUUGGGCCCCCUGGAAUUACUGGGAAGCAAGGACCAAAGGGAGUUCAAGGGGAAAUUGUAAUUAUCUUGACUUUAUUUGCUUUUUGUCUACAAUGAGGUUUUGUUUGCAAACUUCAUGCAUUGUA